rfam:Schistosoma haematobium scaffold906_29, whole genome shotgun sequence.
AUUUUGCUGAGGAGUCCCACAAUAGGACGAAACGACCGUCCAGU